rnacentral:rRNA from 1 species
CCCUUAGACACUCUAGGCGGCACGCGCGCUACAAUGGGUGGAAGAACGUGUUACUGCCUCCGAAAGGAGGGGUGAAUCACGAAUUCUUGCCCGUGAAUGGGAUAGUUUGUUGCAAUUUUCGGACUUGAACUAGGAAUCCCUUGUAAACAUGCUCAAGAAUAGCGUGUUGAAUACGUCCCUGCCGUUUGUACACACCGCCCGUCGUUUCUUCCGACUGAUACUCAUUGUGAGUUGCAAGGACCCUUUAUUGGGAAAUUGCUGCAAAUGCUUUGUAUUGGAGGAAGAAAAANUCGUAACA